rnacentral:rRNA from 1 species
AACAAACGCUGGCGGCGUGCCUAACACAUGCAAGUCGUACGAGAAAGGGUCCUUCGGGACCUGAGUAAAGUGGCGCACGGGUGAGUAACGCGUGGAUAAUCUGCCCUUCAGUUGGGAAUAACUCAUCGAAAGGUGGGCUAAUACCGAAUAACGCUGUGAGACCUUGGUUGAUCAGCCAAAGAGAGCCUCUGCUUGCAUGCCCUUGCUGAAGGAUGAGUCCGCGUACCAUUAGCUUGUUGGUAGGGUAAUGGCCUACCAAGGCUUCGAUGGUUAGCUGGUCUGAGAGGAUGAUCAGCCACACUGGAACUGACACACGGUCCAGACUCCUACGGGUGGCAG